AGUAAAUAGAUACCCGGGUAGUCCUAGCCGUAAACGAUACUCGCUAGGUGUCGGCCACGGUGCGACCGUUGUCGGUGCCGUAGGGAAAGCCGUGAAGCGAGCCACCUGGGAAGUACGGCCGCAAGGCUGAAACUUAAAGGAAUUGGCGGGGGAGCACCACAACGGGUGGAGCUUGCGGUUUAAUUGGAUUCAACGCCGGAAAUCUUACCGGGACCGACAGCAAUAUGAAGGCCAGGCUGAAGACUUUGCCGGAUUAGCUGAGAGGUGGUGCAUGGCCGUCGUCAGUUCGUACUGUGAAAGCAUCCUGUUAAGUCAGGCAACGAGCGAGACCCACGCCCACAGUUGCCAGCGUACUCUCUGGAGUGACGGGUACACUGUGGGGACCGUCGCUGCUAAAGCGGAGGAAGGAAUGGGCAACGGUAGGUCAGUAUGCCCCGAAUAUCCCGGGCUACACGCGAGCUACAAUGGUUGGUACAAUGGGUAUCUACCCGAAAGGGGACGGGAAUCUCCUAAAACCAAUCUUAGUUCGGAUUGAGGGCUGCAACUCGCCCUC
rnacentral:rRNA from 1 species